AGGAAAUAAAUUGCCUGCUGCAACUGCCCCAUGUGUGUCUGCCUACCAGACACCCGAUCUUGCAAGAUUGUUAUUAAAAGUCUCACUUCCGCUGUUCUUUGCAUCUCUGAGUCCAUUCUUUGGAUUUGGAUGGGUGAAUGUGUUUCUCACAAACUUGGCGUCUUGUCUGGGAUCUCUGUGCCUGCAAUGGAAUGGUUCUCCAGCUGAGAGAGGAGACAUGUCCCACCCAAUUUUAGGUGGCCUGCUCUGUCCCAGCAUCCUGGCUACUCGCAGAGGACACAAACAUACCCGAGACUGUUAUUCAGGAGGUGGCGGAGGCAACACAGAGAGAAAAAGCAGGCACCGUGGCAACCAAGCAACCUCAUGCAUGAGCCAAGGUUAAAAGGACUUCUGACUCAAACUCUGCCUCUUGGGUUUGCAGUUCAUCACUUCCAUCCUGGUGACUUGGUACUGAUUAAGGCUUGGAAAGAAGACAAGCUCCACCCAAGCUGGGAAGGUCUCUAUCAAAUGCUCCUGACCACCAAGACGGCCGUGCAAACAGCUGAAUAGGGGUGGACUCACUAUACUUAAGUCAAGGGACUUGUAAAAAAGACCCCGGAAGGGAGAGAAAAAGACCAGUGGAAAGUGCAUGGGUCACCUGAGGAAUCCUUAAAGUUAACUUUGAGAAAAACCUAAAAGGAAAACUUGGGCUGGCCUCAUCUCUGGAAGUUAAUAUGGUUGGUAUGGGUUACUAUACAAAGAGCAAAAGGUCAGAAUGGAAAUUGGCAGGGGAAUCCUCCCUACCAAUCAGGUUAGUGAUUAAUGUAACUAAGAUGGUAGCACCCCAGACUAUAAGAUUUGAUGCCUGCCAGAUUUUACCUUGUGGAAAUUUAGGAGAGAGACAGCUCCUGCAGGCAGAUAAAUAUCUUUUCCCUGAACAAGAUACAGGUUACAGUAGGACGUCACCCUGCCCCAGCUGGGAUAACGUAUGGUGAACUACCCAAUUCCAGGGUUAGACAGUAAACACAGGGUGGGUAACUCCGAGCUCGAGACCCUUGAAGAAUAAUACGUCUGUCCAAGGGCUCCCUGCCAAAUAACUGCCAGAAUUUAGAAUGCAAUCCUAUACUCAUAACCAUUGAUAAUCCAGCCAUUCUAGACCAAGGAGCAAAAGUAGCAUCUCAAGUAUAUGUGUUAGGAGCAGAUAGCACAGAGAAAGACCUCCUAAGGCGAUUUAUUCUCAAAUUGAUCAAGAACUCAACCUCCCAUUUGCCUGAGAUUACUCCAACCCAAGACCCUAAUAAACACUUUAGUGCACUAAAUAAUGACCCUAAAAGAGUAGAAAUAAUUGAAGUAAAAGAUUUAAGGCAAACCUUAGAAAUUGAGACAGCGUACAGAGAUGUGAAUGCCUGGGUCGAAUGGGUCAAAUUUUUGGUAGAAGCCAUUAACAAGAGUAACUGCUACGCUUGUGCUGCAGAACAACCUCAGGCAGAAAAUACUGAUUCAUUCUUUGGGAGCCACUUUGGGACGCCUAGCAUGGGAUACAUAUCCUGAAGGAAUGUGUUGCAUGUUGGCUGUAUACCUGGACAAGGAUGCAUGGGGAAAUGAGACUCGUAAGAGUCUGUCAUUGCUCUUUCCCGCAUUGCGGAAGUCAAAUCCCAGAGCAAUACCCUCGUUCUCUAUAGGGAACAUGAAUCACUCUUCUUGCCUCUCUAGGCAGGAGGAAGAGUUCAAUAAACCCAUGGGAGAACUCUCAACUUGUAUCCACAUCAUAAACAUCACUGACACCUGAUCUUGCAAGACUGCCAUUAAAACUCUUGUUCCUGAACUGAGAUCGUGCCGCAGCACCCCAGCCUGGGUGACAGAGCAAGACUCCAUCUUGGAAAAGAAAAACACAAAUAAAAAUAAAAAUAAAAUAAAAUAAGUCUUCCUUCUGCUGUUC
rnacentral:lncRNA from 10 species